rnacentral:miRNA from 1 species
CCAAAUUGAGAGAGAGAGAGAGAG